UACGUAGGGGGCAAGCGUUUGUCCGGAAUCAUUGGGCGUAAAGCGCGCGUAGGUGCCCGGUAAGUCCGCUCUGAAAGUCAAAGGCUCAACCUUUGAAAGCGGGUGGAUACUGUCGGGCUAGAGUCCGGAAGAGGCGAGUGGAAUUCCCGGUGUAGCGGUGAAAUGCGCAGAUAUCGGGAGGAACACCUAUGGCGAAGGCAGCUCGCUGGGACGGUUACUGACGCUGAGACGCGAAAGCGUGGGGAGCGAACCGG
rnacentral:rRNA from 1 species